ACGGCCGUACCAUGCUGAAUAUACCGGUUCUCGUUAGAUCACCGAAGUCAAGCAUCAUUGGGCGCGGUCAGUACUUGGGAGGGUGACCACCUGGGAACACCGCGGGCCGUC
rnacentral:rRNA from 1 species